UGAAGUUUUGAUUGGAGUGAGGUUUGAAGGUGGCAAUUUCAAGGAAUUUGAAGGAAUAGAGAAAAGAGUUGCAAGAUCUAUUGAAACUCUGAUUACACAAAAGCUUUCAACAUUUUCUCCUUCACUUAAGAAAUUACUCCUUCGAGCUGUUGAGAGGAUCAAUGCUCCAGGUCUGUUCUUCAUCUAUUGGCUUUAUUUCAAUCCUAGUGGAGAGAACAUCUACAUUCCACUCGAGACUCAGAUAAACCAACUGUUGAAAAAGAAUGUAGCUAAUCUAAGACAUGGGAAAGCCAUAUUGUUUUCAAAAUCAA